rnacentral:tRNA from 3 species
GGAUAGCUCAGUUGGUUAGAGCAGGUGAAUGAUACUCAUCGGGUCGCGGGUUCGAUUCCCGCUCCAA